rnacentral:lncRNA from 1 species
UGACCACCGUGAAAAGACUGAAGAUUACAAGAGCUGGCAGGUGUCAUAGCUAGCCAGGAAUAUUUCAUACAAUUAAGUUCAUCGUCAGUCCAUUUGCAGCGUCAAUGUCAUGUCCCCCUAUAGUUUCGAUUAUGCAUCCAGCACCAAGGAAAGAGCCACUAGCUAGAGAGAGGAACUGAUUAUAUUUUUGUACACUAAUCUUGAUUAAUU